UACGUAGGUGACAAGCGUUGUCCGGAUUUACUGGGCGUAAAGAGCGCGCAGGCGGUCGAUCAAGUCGAGUGUGAAAGCCCCCGGCUCAACUGGGGAGGGUCAUUCGAUACUGAUCGACUCGAAGGCAGGAGAGGGUAGUGGAAUUCCCGGUGUAGUGGUGAAAUGCGUAGAUAUCAUUUGGAACGCCAAUGGUGAAAACAGACAGCUGGGAGUGUGCUGACGCUGAGACACGAAAGCCAGGGGAGCGAACGGG
rnacentral:rRNA from 1 species